rnacentral:antisense_RNA from 1 species
CUUGACCGAGCCGAGCAGCAACGGCCGUUCCUCGGGUCGCCCUUGACCGUAGGUGGCCAGCAGGGCCUGUGCUUC